rnacentral:rRNA from 1 species
AGAGUUUGAUCCUGGCUCAGAACGAACGCUGGCGGCAGGCUUAACACAUGCAAGUCGAGCGCCUCGCAAGGGGAGCGGCAGACGGGUGAGUAACACGUGGGAAUCUACCCAUCCCUGCGGAACAACUCCGGGAAACUGGAGCUAAUACCGCAUACGCCCUACGGGGGAAAGAUUUAUCGGGGAUGGAUGAGCCCGCGUUGGAUUAGCUAGUUGGUGGGGUAAAGGCCUACCAAGGCGACGAUCCAUAGCUGGUCUGAGAGGAUGAUCAGCCACAUUGGGACUGAGACACGGCCCAAACUCCUACGGGAGGCAGCAGUGGGGAAUAUUGGACAAUGGGCGCAAGCCUGAUCCAGCCAUGCCGCGUGAGUGAUGAAGGCCUUAGGGUUGUAAAGCUCUUUCAACGGUGAAGAUAAUGACGGUAACCGUAGAAGAAGCCCCGGCUAACUUCGUGCCAGCAGCCGCGGUAAUUC